GCAAAACGCGAAGAACCUUACCAGGUCUUGACAUCCCUCUGACCGGUCCGUAACGGGGCCUUUCCUUCGGGACAGAGGUGACAGGUGGUGCAUGGUUGUCGUCAGCUCGUGUCGUGAGAUGUUGGGUUAAGUCCCGCAACGAGCGCAACCCUUAUCUUUAGUAGCCAGCAUUUCGGAUGGGCACUCUAGAGAGACUGCCAGGGAUAACCUGGAGGAAGGUGGGGAUGACGUCAAAUCAUCAUGCCCCUUAUGAUCUGGGCUACACACGUGCUACAAUGGUGAUAACAAAGAGAAGCGAAGUCGUGAGGCGAAGCAAAUCUCAAAAAUGUCAUCUCAGUUCGGAUUGUAGUCUGCAACUCGACUACAUGAAGCUGGAAUCGCUAGUAAUCGCGAAUCAGAAUGUCGCGGUGAAUACGUUCCCGGGUCUUGUACACACCG
rnacentral:rRNA from 1 species